CACGUAGGGUGCGAGCGUUGUCCGGAAUUAUUGGGCGUAAAGAGCUCGUAGGCGGUGUGUCGCGUCGGCCGUGAAAACCUGCAGCUUAACUGUGGGCUUGCGGUCGAUACGGGCAUCACUGGAGUUCGGCAGGGGAGACUGGAAUUCCUGGUGUAGCGGUGAAAUGCGCAGAUAUCAGGAAGAACACCCGUGGCGAAAGCGGCUCUCUGGAACGGUACUGACGCUGAGACGCGAAAGCGUGGGGAGCGAACAGG
rnacentral:rRNA from 1 species